AACGCGAAGAACCUUACCUACUCUUGACAUCCAGAGAACUUUCCAGAGAUGGAUUGGUGCCUUCGGGAACUCUGAGACAGGUGCUGCAUGGCUGUCGUCAGCUCGUGUUGUGAAAUGUUGGGUUAAGUCCCGCAACGAGCGCAACCCUUAUCCUUUGUUGCCAGCGGUUAGGCCGGGAACUCAAAGGAGACUGCCAGUGAUAAACUGGAGGAAGGUGGGGAUGACGUCAAGUCAUCAUGGCCCUUACGAGUAGGGCUACACACGUGCUACAAUGGCGCAUACAAAGAGAAGCGACCUCGCGAGAGCAAGCGGACCUCAUAAAGUGCGUCGUAGUCCGGAUUGGAGUCUGCAACUCGACUCCAU
rnacentral:rRNA from 1 species